UCCGAUUUGUCACCGGCAGUCUCCCAUGAGCACCCGCUUUCACGGGUUUCACCCUGCAUGUCAAGCCCAGGUAAGGUUCUUCGCGUCGCAUCGAAUUAAGCCGCAUGCUCCGCCGCUUGUGCGGGCCCCCGUCAAUUCCUUUGAGUUUUAGCCUUGCGGCCGUACUCCCCAGGCGGGGUGCUUAAUGCGUUAGCUUCGGCACGGAUGGGGUCGAUGUCCACCCACACCUAGCACCCAACGUUUACGGCUAGGACUAC
rnacentral:misc_RNA from 1 species